AGGUCCCGUUUCUUGGGAUAGCAUCAUGCAGUGACACAGGCUUAGUCUGAUUAGUGAGAAACGAAGAUAGAUCUUCUCAGCGCUGUAGGAAACUUCAGUGAUGGUUUUUGGAAACAAGGCCUUGGAAACACAUUGGCCUUCCAAAAAGGAGCCACUCAAAAUUGGUAGCCUUUUAUUCCUCCACUGUUGGCUUUGCAAUUUAGCUUUCUAUUUCUCACACUUUCAUUACAUACAGUGUUGUGUAUAUGCAUCCCAGUAAACUCUAUUGCUUGGAACAAUGAGGUUGAGCAUCAUCAAAACCUGAAAUAAAUGCAAAUCUAAUGCCAGAAAAACAAUUAAAUAGUAUGAUAGGAUUUUAAAUGUAAAUACUGUGUACUUUCUGAACAUAAAUUUUACUUAAAUAAAGGAAAUAGAUACUUGCAAGGACUGAAGAAUUCAAACUAGCAUUUCUAGGUGUGAGAGACUAAUAAAAUGAGAUCAAUGUGGAGAUCGAACACUGGUGCCUUUAGAAGUAACAUAGAACUGUCUUUGUAGACAUUUUUACUCAUUUCUUGGGCAAAUGGUCAGCUACGGAGCCUUAGAAGAAGAAGGUCCUUUUUGCAAGGUCAGCAAUGUUUGGGGUUUAUUUUAAGAUGACAAAGCACAAGUAUUUAAUUUGUUUGUGACUGAAAUAGUGAAGCCUUUCUAACCCAUGGAAUCUCUGCAAGACUAUUGUGUUAUUUCUUGGAAUUCUGAAAUAGCAGAAGGAAAGAUUUCAACUCAUAGCAGUAGCCAGAUAGGUGUGAACUUAAUUGUCAUAUCUAUGUGAUAUCAAUAUGGCACAACUUUAAAGACUUAUAGCUGCUUAGACCUUUGUGCUAACUUGCGGCUCAGUGUUAUAAACCCAGGAAAAAAUGCCUACAUUUCUAGUAAGUAAUUAUUCUUAGUUACGGGUGGAGAGGAGGGAUGGGGGAUGAUGGUGCUAUUUUCCUAUUCUUUUAGUAGUGAAAUGGCCUUUUGAGGGAAAACACUAAUUUGCACAGACAAGAGAAUUUAAAUAAUUAUUCCAUGUUCAGAAACUUGGAAAAGCAUUGUGAUGUCAUUUCAUUGCAGGUAUAUAAAUUCCAUAAACAGAGAAAUUGUAUCUCUGAGGAAAAAAGGGUGUCCUGUUUCUAUCAUGCCAAACAACUUUCUUGACAGCUUGACACCUUUUGCUAAACAAGAUUUUGGCAACAUAACACUGCAGAUAAUUGUUAUAAGGCCACACAAUUCAAACUAGUUACUUUUCUUAAAUGAACCAUCUGUAGCCACUAGAAAGCAAGAGAACAUGAGGCAAAAUAUUGUGUACAUCCACUUGUUUCAAUGAAGAAAGGUAACUGCAGGCAGACUUUAGUUGGCUGUGAUUGCGUACAUACAGCACAUGCUUCCAUUUGUCAUAGUCUCACAACAAUUGGAAACAGAAGUAUAAUUGCUUGGCGUAUUCAGAAUAUGUAACAGAUCAUGACUAAAUUCUGUUCUCCUUCAAUUUUAAAGUCACAGAACCACAUAUUUGGAUUUAUGUGUAAAUUCAACCCUCUGAAUUUAGCCCAUGUUCCUUCUAAGUAGUUUUGGCAAAUGCAUUUUCUUUAAUGAUUCUUCACAAGCAGAAAUCCAAACUGCCUCAUGAAGUCCUAGGGAAGGUAAGCUGAACUUGUUUCUAUUUCAAAGAUAUUUAUCUGGAAUUUUUGUUAAAUUUGCAGUCCCUAAGACAAGCAAACAAUACCAAUAAGUGACAAAGAUUUUAGGUAAUACAAAACUGUACAUAAUGUUAAUUUUAUUUCAAGGUAAUUAGAACUUCUAUGUUGCAGUAAGUAAUAUGCCCCAUUUCCUGAUUUGAAAUUAAUUAAAAUAUUUAACAUAUUCAGCACAUGCUAAAAGUUCAUCUGUUCUCUGUGUAGAUAGGGUAUUUUCUGUAACAUAAGAAAUGUUAAUAAUGCUGAUCCUCAAAACAAAAUAUUUCAAAAAUAUCCCAACUGAAAUUUGAAUAUGAAUAUGCGCUCAGGUUUCCACUUAAACACUGCAGUGUUGCCUAAUCACAUAACAGAAUAGCUUCUGGACACAAACAGCCAUCAAUUAUUACAACUUCAGCCUUCGCACAAAGUACUAAUUUGCUUUACUGCAUAAUAGAACCCGUUCCACGAUCACUGCAGUGAGCUGCUGUGCGUUGCAUUAAAAACAAACCAGAUAUAAAUUUCAGCAGAAACAGGGCUAAAUAUCCUGUCUAGCUUUUAAUUUUAUUCAGCAGCAUCUUUGUACAUCUGGAAUAUUUGAAAUAUGUACUUCGUUUCUUAUACAAGAAAUGAUAUUUUGUUUUGCCAAGAAAGUCUCGAAGUUAUGAAACAAAAUAAGGGGAAAGGCCCAUUGAAAAUGCAAUUUGUGUUAACAUAGAGGCAUCAGAAGUCAUGGAUAGAAUCUAGUUACAGAACAAAGCUAAUUUUAUCUUGCUCCUCAGCAAAGUAAAUUAGUCUUUCCCUCCUCAGUAGGUUUUUGGUGCCAGAUAAAUUGAUGCUCGGGAUCUCAACAGUCUGCAACACGUAGUAUAAAUAAAAAGUGGAAAGAUGUGUUCAGUUUGACUUGCAUUAUUUUCUCUGUGAUAAUUACACACACAAUAAUUAAGUUGGUGCUGUUUUUCUGGGAGUUUCUCCCUGCUAGAAGAGCCCUUGUCAACCCGGGGCCCUGGAACAGCCUGGCAUGUGCCUGGAAGCUCUCAGUGAAUCCACGCUUGAGAAGCUUGGUUGCUCUGGUGUAGAAGAUGGCCAUGCAAGUCUACUGAAACCAAGGAGCUUCUUGGAAUGGCACUGGAGCUGUGGAGCAGAAAGGCAGAAAACAGAUGGCUAAAAUGUCUUCUUAUAUCCUGUCAAAUUCAAGCCUUACAGUGGCAGAGGAACACACGGGACCAAAGCAGCUCCUUCCUCUUUUGUUCCAGUUGGUUUGUCUCUGAUGAACACACUGUACUAUAAAUUGAUUCCCACAGCAAUAAAUAAAAAUGAGCAAUUAGGCAACCCACUUCACCUAACUGUAUUCCCACCAUUGUCCAUCUGGUCUCAUGUUAAACAAUUCAUUUAAGAGAAACUAUUAUACAGAGUCACUCCAGUAACUUCUCUCUCUUUUUUUUUUUUUUUUUAAUGUCAAAAAAACCAACAACCCUCUCAGAGGCAUUUUUUGUCACACUGUCUUCCUCCUCUCUGCUUAUAUUUAACAUGUGUUUUACACUAGUUGUUCCUCAUUUUGCCAAUAUAGACGCAUUUAGUUCUUUUAAGCAAUUAUUUCAAACAAGAGACUGCAGUUGCCAGAAACUACCAGGCAGACAGAUCUCUGCAGAACAACCUUACUGCUGUUGAGAGUAGUAAGAAUAAAUAUGUGCAAGACUGUUGGCCAAGACCAGAGCACUAGAAACAUUAUUUCACCCAUUCUGUUCUGAUCUAAAUAGAACAAUGUGUGAAACCCUAUCUCUACUACCAGCCAUCAACGCUUCUGCAUGUGAUCCUCUAAACCUUUUGAGGAGUUGAUAUGGAGAAAUAAAGACUAUGACAUUCGCAAGGAAUCGCAUGCCCAGUUCCUUUUGGAACAUCCAAAACACGAAGAUGGCUUUGAAAUGCUCAUGCCUACUCUGCUUAUUGCCAUAAGAGAGAUAUUUUCAUUAAAAUGUAUUUUUUCUUUCCACUAACUAACUGGCUAAAAGAUCCCAAACCCAAAACAUAUAUUAUGCAGCCUCAAGAGGGCAGCCUGGUAUUUCAAGAAUCAGCUUACAAAAAGCUAAUAAUGUUUUAGCAUAACAGCAGGCUCUAAAGACAGCAUAGAAUUAAGAUUGUUGUAAAUAUUAAUUAAAAAAAAUAGGCUAAACGUAAGGUGAGUCCAUGGCAGAAUCAUUAGCUCACCUGUUUUGCUGCUGUCCGUGUAACAUCCUGACUCAGUAGCAGAUGAUGCAGAAUUACAGUUUCCAGACAUAUGUGCCACAUGCUGUAGCAGCUACACCAGCAUUGCCCUCCAUGGAAGCUUUUGCUUAAUCAAUACCUACUACGAGCAAUCUGUUCAAGAUUGUGAUCAAGCUGUGUCUUGAGCAUGGAACAGCCUAGAUCAGUGAUAAUGAAAUUCAUGUCUGUGAGUGGUGAUAAUUCUGUGUGUGUUUUCAAACAGUACAUAGAAAUUUAGGAUUAUAGGAACAUUGACUGCAAGGUGAUCUCAUGAGUAACUGAGUACAGUUGCCUUUUAUGGCACUGCAUCAUUUUGUCCUUGCAUAAAAGUACUAUAUUCCACCUUAAAAUCAGAUUAUUUUCCCUCUUACUAUUUAUUUUGGAAGACUGUUUCAGAAUUUCUUUGCUCUAAUUGACCUUAUGUAAAAAGCCCUCUCCAGAGUUAUUUUUAGCCAACUUAAAUCUAUUGGUUCUUGUGUCAAUAUUAUCUGUUAGUGUCUCUGUUUUUUUUUUUUAUUAAAUGUUUCUAUCUUUUAUCCUAUGACAAAACUCAUCAAUUCCUUGAUCAUUUUUGUAACAAUUCUCUAUUCCUGUUCCCAUUUCAAUCUCCUUCCUUAAGCACAGAUGAUAGAUAACUAUAUCCCAGAUGGACAGUCUCCAAAUCACUAGCCUUGCUACUCCUCAAGUCCAUCAGGCCACCACAUGUGCCUUUCUUUGCACUGAUGAGUUGGGGAUGGCAAUGUUAGCCUGUAUUCUGAAGACCUGAAGGAGGAAUAAGCUGAGAGUCAGCUGGAGGUAGAAUCUCCAAUUCUGCCAUCACCAUGCAAGAUCUUAAGCAAACAAGACUUCAUCUCAGGUACCCAAGUUCACAAUGGGUAAUAUCCACCCAUGCUCCUAUAUAACUAAUACCAAAAAUACAAAAUUAUAUAGAGAUUUAAUACACACCAUAAGUCUUAAGAGCAUGCUUGUCAGCUCGCUAAACCACAUCUGCUGUAAUUCGCAGAGUGAUCUGCCCAAGGUCAGCUAAGACCUCUGAGACCGGUAUAUCAUUGCAAAACACAGAGCAGUUCACAUAUCAUGAUAAUUUCAUUUUCCAAGUGAAUUUUCUAGAAUGAAACCUCUCUCAUUCCAGGAGAACACCUUCUGGAAUUAUUUUUGAAAGCAGUGUGAUUAGUUUCAUCAUAAAUCCUGUGUACUAAGGAGGAUAUUUCUAUCAGUUUUAUGACCACUGCUUCUCAAUG